AGCGAACGCUGGCGGCAGGCUUAACACAAGCAAGUCGAGCGCCCCGCAAGGGGAGCGGCAGACGGGAGAGUAACACGUGGGAACAUACCUUUUGGUUCGGAACAACUGAGGGAAACUUCAGCUAAUACCGGAUAAGCCCUUACGGGGAAAGAUUUAUCGCCGAAAGAUUGGCCCGCGUCUGAUUAGCUAGUUGGUGAGGUAACGGCUCACCAAGGCGACGAUCAGUAGCUGGUCUGAGAGGAUGAUCAGCCUCACUGGGACUGAGGCAUGGCCCAGACUCCUACGGGAGGCAGCAGUGGGGAAUAUUGGACAAUGGGCGCAAGCCUGAUCCAGCCAUGCCGCGUGAGUGAUGAAGGCCUUAGGGUUGUAAAGCUCUUUUGCCCGGGAAGAUAAUGACGGUACCGGGAGAAUAAGCCCCGGCUAACUUCGUGCCAGCCGCCGCGGUAA
rnacentral:rRNA from 1 species